rnacentral:rRNA from 1 species
GAUGAACGCUGACAGAAUGCUUAACACAUGCAAGUCUUUGGCGAAGCUGUGCUUGCACAGCCUAGCCAAGGCGGACGGGUGAGUAACGCGUAAGGAACUUGCCCUGCAGUCAGGGAUAACAGACGGAAACGACUGAUAAGACCUGGUAAAGUCAGGCGGACUCAUGUCCAGCCUGAUGAAAAGAGAUGCUGCAGGAGAGCCUUGCGUCCUAUUAGCUUGUUGGUGGGGUAACGGCCCACCAAGGCGAUGAUAGGUAGCCGGCCUGAGAGGGUGGACGGCCACAAGGGGACUGAGAUACGGCCCUUACUCCUACGGGAGGCAGCAGUGGGGAAUAUUGGACAAUGGGGGCAAACCUGAGCCAGCAAUUCUGUGUGCACGAUGAAGGUUUUCGGAUUGUAAAGUGCUUUCAGAAGGGAAGAAAAAAUGACGGUACCUGCAGAAGAAGCGACGGCUAAAUACGUG